rnacentral:rRNA from 1 species
AGUGAACGCUGGCGUUAGGCCUAACACAUGCAAGUCGAACGGCAGCACAGUAAGAGCUUGCUCUUACGGGUGGCGAGUGGCGGACGGGUGAGGAAUACAUCGGAAUCUACUUUUUCGUGGGGGAUAGCGUAGGGAAACUUACGCUAAUACCGCAUACGACCUACGGGUGAAAGCAGGGGAUAUUCGGACCUUGCGCGAUUGAAUGAGCCGAUGUCGGAUUAGCUAGUUGGCGGGGUAAAGGCCCACCAAGGCGACGAUCCGUAGCUGGUCUGAGAGGAUGAUCAGCCACACUGGAACUGAGACACGGUCCAGACUCCUACGGGAGGCAGCAGUGGGGAAUAUUGGACAAUGGGCGCAAGCCUGAUCCAGCCAUACCGCGUGGGUGAAGAAGGCCUUCGGGUUGUAAAGCCCUUUUGUUGGGAAAGAAAAGCAGCAGGUUAAUACCCCGCUGUUCUGACGGUACCCAAAGAAUAAGCACCGGCUAACUUCGUG